AGGGAGGGAGGAAAGAGAUGGCUGGAAGUCAAGAGGGAGAGGAUCUCCUUGUAAGGAUGCCAGGCAAGAGCCUUGUUGACUUAGCAGGUGACACUCUGGGGAAGUGGGGGAGGAGGGUGCGGGUGUCACACCCCUCUGAGCUUGAUUCCCAUUGGCUCUCGAGAUCCUUAAAAGGGUCCUGCAGUCUCAGCAGCGGCAUUCUCGGACCCUCAGAGGAUUCUGUGGUUACAGUCUCUCCUCAACCCAAGGCAUGAGACGCAUGACUCUCCUCCUCUUGGCAGCUCUGGUCGGGACCCUGGUCUCUGCCCAAAAUGCUUCCUCUGCUCUUCCCGAGGAACCCUUCAUCACCCCAGCAACCCAGAAGAUUUCGACAGCACCUCCCAGCUCAGGAUUCAACCCACUGCAACUCGGGUUAGAUAAAGGUCUCUCGGUAGCCCAAGGAGUAAGAAGAAAAAUACAAGAAAAACUUGAAGAAGGAAAGAAAUUCUUCGAAGGUGAGUGCAUACCAACUCAAAGUCUUGUGAAACUGAGAAGACUCACCACUUGCCAGGGGUGGGAGGUGGACCGGAUAUUGUCACCUGCCCCCCACACCUGAGUCCUGGGAAUGUCACCACGCCUCCACACUGAAGCUGCCCCCAUGCUGGGCCUUCACAUGCCUCCAGCCUCUCACCCACAUUCAAACCGCCUGAUAUCAGCUUCCCCCUGGGGUCUGACUGCCAGACUUCCCACUGCACUGCCUGCUACUCUUCCUCUUGCUCCUGCCCAGGUCGGGGCGGGGUCAGGGAUGGGCAGGUCCUUCGGCCUCUGCUGUCCCUAACCUCCAUCCCAGACUCCUGGGUAAGGCCCUCCAAGGGCUCAGUGAGGCUAGGAAGCAGGAGAUGGAGUGGAGGAGGGUGGAGAGGGUGGAGCUGGUGCCCGGGACCCCUCAAACCUCAUUCUCAUCUCCACUUUCUUCUAGAGGGGACUGAACUGGCACAAAGCCUAAGGAAAAAAUUCAUUCCAGUAACAUUGUUUCCUCGUUUUUUGAGAAGCUGAAGAAAUUGAGUCUCUGGACUUAACACCUUAAACAUACUUGUAGCCCAUAGCAAUUAAAGUGAAAGCAUCCAACUUGCCCUUGCCAGUGCUCUGUGGGGUGGGCCCUAGGGCAGAGGGGGAGCAAAGCCCGACGUGACCCAAGCUCCCAGUCCGUCUCCGCCUGCCUUGGGGACACAGCCUGUGAUGAGCCCCUUCAUCCCCCCUGAGCCAGAGUUACAC
rnacentral:lncRNA from 1 species